AGUUAUUUUCAUUCGGGAGUUCACAUCUCUACUGCGUCGGCGUGAAGCAUCGCUAUCAUUUUCUCUACUUGUCGUCCUUCACUAUCUCGUAAUUUUAAAUAUUCACAAUUUGAUUACUGCAAGUCUCAGGGCAAUGUUUAUCGUUAAAUCAAGGGCAACACUUCCGGAUUUGAAUAAAAAAUGUUGAAUAACCAAGAAAAAACCCUAAGCUUGUCACAAUUGACAUCGAUCGGUUGUGCAGUCGUUCCAUUUACAACGCCUCUUAUUGAACCAACAGAUUGCCACUUACAGUAAAAAUCAGUCGAGAAUAGGAGAUGGAAAUUCCCGCAAUAAAGUAUCAGAGUUGCGUCAGACCCUGUUUUCCGAGCUAUUUUCUAUAAGACAUAACGGGAGUGCAAAACUGUAGAGCAGAAAGCAGUUCUACUUACGAGAGAUUAUUUACAGUGCAGUGGAGCAGUCGUCUCAGGUGGCACGAGUGUCCCGGAGGCUGUCGCGAGGUAGAAUGUCCGUAUUCCUAGCGAAACUCGGUCACUACAUUGGACGAUUGGCGCAUAUCCAAUGGCUUCUGUGGGUUUCCAUCACUUACAACUCCGCCGUUAGAUGUCACGUUGUGUUUAAUUUGCAUUGGUUUUGAUCAAAUUUAAAAUUUUACACAUUUGAUUAACAUAUAUCUGAAUUUUUGCAGUGUCGCAGUGCACAUUAUUUAUCUGUCUAUUUAUUCAGUUCGAAAGUAAAAACAGAAGAAGUUUAAUCGCAGUUAAUUGCUCGGGUUUUCAACAACAUGUACGUAAGUUAUACGUAAAUGUUUGAAAAGGUAAGAAGAUAAUUUUUCUUUUAACCCAAGUUAAAUUUCCCCUUAUCGAAAUCCUCAUCUCAAACUGUGCCCAGGGAAAAGAGGUCAAUAACUAAAGGUUGGCGUCCCCCCCUCUCUCCAUGUGUCAUCGACUCUUUUAAAAAAGAAUAGCACACACCUCCAGGAAGGCUAUGUUUUUAUGGCCGUCAAGAUCUAAUCGACAUUUAAAAGAAUAGAAGAGAUGCGUGUUUUCAUUGAAAAACAACUUAAAGCGACCUUGGCAACAAAGAAAGUUUAUUUCGUCUAUAUUCAGCUUUGGAAAUCUCAAAGUCAACAAGUUGUGUCCAUUCAAAUCACAAAGAUAUUUAAACUUGGGCGAUAUUUUGGUUCUUAAUAAUAAUCUGCCGCUCCUCUUCGAUAGAUCGGGCCAGUGCCGUUACGUUACCGGCACCAAAACCUCUCGCUCCUUUUCUCUGCAC